AGGGACUUCCGGUUCUAGUGAAGCUUUGCCAGGACUUCUGUGUGCAACCCCAUACACCUUGCAGGUGGACAGAGCCAAAUGCUCAAGAAAUUGAGGACAUCUAUGGUCUGAAUGGUCAAAUAGAACACAAAAUAGCCUUUCUGAGAGCUCACGUGCCAAAGGAUGUGAAGAUUAUACUCAUUGGCCAUUCCAUAGGCAGCUACAUUUCUCUUCGGGUCAUGAAGCAUGCUCCUGAGCUGCCUCUAAUGCUGCCUACCUUGGAGGCCAAGAAGUGAUACAAGUACAGAAGAGAGAUGAUGAAAUCAUAAAGGAACAUUUACCUAAGGGGCGUGGCAACAGAAAAAUCACCGAGUGAGCCUGGGAACCGAUGUUUCUGUGACUGAUGUCACCACUUGAGAGAUCACGUCUCCAGAGGUCAAGAGGGAACUGAGGCCAGGAAAACCAGGCAGCUGCUGGGAGCUUUCCUAAGUGUAGAAGCUGACGUUUUACUAUGGUAAGACAGAUGGCUGGUGUCCAGUAAAGUACUAUGAAGACAUGAAGAAAGAUUUUCCAGAAGGCGACAUCCGACUCUGUGAGAAAGGAAUAUCCCAUGCUUUUGUCCUUGGUUUCAGCCAGGAGGUGGCUGCCAUAGUUGCUGACUGGAUGAACCAUAAACUGCCCAAAAUAUAAAAACUGGCCCUGGGAAGACGUACCUACAGCUGAUACGUGGGAGCUGUAGGUGUGUUCUGAUUAUGGGUGAAUGUUUAAUCUUAACGCUUAAAAAGGAAACAUGAGACCCUUUUGCUUACAGACUUAGCUCCCUGUGCUAAGACUAAAGUGAACACAGUUGAUGACUCAUUCCACAUGUUCCCUGACUCAGGAUCUCCACAGUGAUCUCCACAAAGAUUCCUCUUUUGACAAGAAGCCUGACAGCGCUGUAUAGUGCAGUUUACCCAACAGGAUCCUGACAAGCCCAAGACAACCUAAAUAUAGGUGAUUCCAAGUGAAUCCUUACUUUAGAAUAGAUUGUCCUAGAUGAAAUUAUGAAACACUGGCUAGAAAAUGAAAACCCACCCAUGAGUGUGAAGUGUGCAGUCAGGUGUGUAAAAUGUGUAAGACUGAGAAGAGCACACCUGCUCUUCCAGCUGCAGGGAGGAAUGAGCAGGGACGCUGGCAGUGAGCUUGGUUUCCCUGCAGGGACGGGGGAAAUCGAGUCAGACGUUGUACGGGUCUUGGCUGAGGUCAUCAGCAUGUCUUCCUGCUCCUGCUGCAGUAAACCAAGAAUCAAGGUUGCCUGACAUUAUCAACUAACUAGACAGAGUUGCUGAAGGAUCCUGACUAUGACCUGCUGCCAGAUGGCCAGCAGGCUCCACCUGAGCCCUAAAAUGCCAGGUCCCUGCAGGCUCCUCUAGAAAAAGAAGGGAGGGAUGGACUGUCCACAUCAAGUGUGUAUGGCUAUGGAGUGGCUCAUCGCUGUGAUUCCUCCAGUGAAGCUCCAUGGACAGGAAGCUGUGAACUGAUGCCUUUCAUGAUGCCAUACGCUACCCUACAAUUCUUCCCUUCUGAAAAUCUAGAACAUACUUUUUGGAAAGAUAUUUUAAAUUGUUGAGUAAAACAUUAGCAUAAAUUUAUUUCCCAUUUGCUUAAACUUUAUUGAACGGAAAGAUAUUAUUUUGCGAAUGAACAGAAGUAAUCCAUUAAAUUUUGAAUUACUUCACCUCUGAAAGUGUAUUCUUGACUGAGAAGUGGAGGACCAGCUAGGCUGCCUUCCCUUAAUUGACUCAAUCCUAAGAUCCCAGAGUCCAGUAAACCCCACUGUCUUUAGUGACAGCUGAUUCACGUUGGAAACAUUCCAUUUUCUUCUAGAGAAAAGCUCCCAUAGCUGUAUCAUUCCUCAGGGGCAGUGAGAUGGUCCUUCCUCUCACAAACCUAAGAUGCUGAUGGACGAUUUGGUUGUUAUGUGCCACCCACUCAGUGGUGAGUGAAGAAAGUUCUAGUCCUUUGUAUGGCUUCUGCAUCAGAGCUCUAACUUCUCAGAGGGGAAAAGCCAAACUCUGGACAAGGCGGGCUUUUAGACCAUGGAGAAGACCGUUAGCUACACAGUAAGGGUUGGUGCUACACCCAAGUCCUCACUGGCAUCUGCACACCAAGGCCUUCUGGAGAGCCGACUGGGAAGCCAGGAUUCACGCUCUGAGGACCUUGGUGGUGGAAAAUCAGUGAACAGAAACAAGUGCUGUUAAAUCAGACCUACCGGAACAAAACCGCAUUCAUUGAUUGCUUCCAGAAAUUACUACUCUGUGUCUUCCAAACUCUACUUAAAAGACCCUGGUGCCUCAUUCCUGUUCCCCAUCUAAUCACCUAAUAAUAAAUAAAUUUAUA